UCGGUAGAACGCGGGUCUCCAAAACCCGAUGUCGUAGGUUCAAAUCCUACAGAGCGUGAUUCCAUUCUUUUGUU
rnacentral:tRNA from 1 species